rnacentral:rRNA from 1 species
CUGAUAUGACGAGCUUGCUCUGAUUUGAUUUUAUCUGACAAAGAGUGGCGAACGGGUGAGUAACACGUGGGUAACCUACCUCUUAGCAGGGGAUAACAUUUGGAAACAAGUGCUAAUACCGUAUAAUACCAACAACCGCAUGGUUGUUGGUUGAAAGAUGGUUCUGCUAUCACUAAGAGAUGGACCCGCGGUGCAUUAGCUAGUUGGUAAGGUAACGGCUUACCAAGGCAAUGAUGCAUAGCCGAGUUGAGAGACUGAUCGGCCACAAUGGGACUGAGACACGGCCCAUACUCCUACGGGAGGCAGCAGUAGGGAAUCUUCCACAAUGGGCGCAAGCCUGAUGGAGCAACGCCGCGUGUGUGAUGAAGGGUUUCGGCUCGUAAAACACUGUUAUAAGAGAAGAACGGCACUGAGAGUAACUGUUCAGUGUGUGACGGUAUCUUACCAGAAAGGAACGGCUAAAUACGUGCCAGCAGCCGCGGUAAUACGUAUGUUCCAAGCGUUAUCCGGAUUUAUUGGGCGUAAAGCGAGCGCAGACGGUUAUUUAAGUCUGAAGUGAAAGCCCUCAGCUCAACUGAGGAAUGGCUUUGGAAACUGGAUGACUUGAGUGCAGUAGAGGAAAGUGGAA